rnacentral:rRNA from 1 species
AUUUUGACUGUGCAAAGGUAGCAUAAUCAUUAGUCUUUUAAUUGAGGACUGGUAUGAAUGGUUUAACGAAGUAUUAACUGUCUCAUUUUAAUAAAUUGAACUUAACUUUUGAGUUAAAAGGCUUAAAUGAAGUUAGAGGACGAGAAGACCCUAUAGAGCUUUAUAAAUUAGAUAUUAAAUUGGAUUUGGGUGUUUUGUUUAAUUUAAGUAAAAAAUUUAUUUUAUUGGGGUGAUAUGAAGAUUUAAUUAACUCUUUAUAAUGGGUAAACACUAAUGAGUGAAUAAUUGAUCCAUUUUUAGUGAUUAUAAGAUUAAGUUACCUUAGGGAUAACAGCGUAAUGUUUUUUGAGUUCUUAUCGACAAGAAAGAUUGCGACCUCGAUGUUGGAUUAAGGAAAAAGUUGGG